rnacentral:tRNA from 1 species
GGCCUGGUGGUCUAGUAGUAUGAUUCCUUCUUAGGGUGGCUUGCCACAAUUGGAGGAGGUCCCGGGUUCAAUUCCCGGCCAGGCCC